rnacentral:rRNA from 1 species
AUGAUGCAUGAGCUCAAGGAGGCGUUUCACAAGAAACGUGAUGAAGCCAAAGGUUCUCGAGAGCGCAUGAAGCUUUUGGCUGCCAAAUGUGUUCAAGCCUAUAAUGAAGCUGAGAAGCGCAAUGCACUUGGGCGUCCUGGCAGCGACCCCAAGAUGGCUGCCAAACAGAAGAAGCCAACUCCGCAAGCCGAAGCAUCUAGGCGGGAAGAACCUCGCAUUGUCUUCCCGGCCAAUAUGACAGGCGUGAAGCCUAUGGUCCCCACAGUGGCUUCGGAGCUCAAGAAAAUGAGGGCAGCCGAAGCCGAAGCCAGAAAGCACAAGACCAAGAACACCACUGACGAGGCUCCACCUGCCAAGAAGCGAAAAACCAAGAAGAAGGAUCGGGCUGCUCUGACAGAGCCCCUUGUCGUCGAGCCAAUUUCUGUUGCUCGUCCUGCAUCUGCACAUCAAGAGCGUCGUAUGAUAGUUCAUGAGGCUGCUUCCACAGAGGCUCCUGAAGCUGAAGACAUUCCAGCUGUUGACCGCACCGCAGCUAAAGACAUUGGUCAACAUGACAAUGUAGAAGAUGAUGAAGUCCUUCAUUAG